GGGUUUUUGAACAUUUUCUUCCUUCCCGUGUACCCUUUCAUUAUCGUCAGGGUUUUAGCCCCUCCACCUCUCUCCAUUUCUAUCUCUGCAAUUUUCUGUAUAUCAAAGAUGGAUUCCAUUGCUAAAGUGCUCUGCCCUCAUCAACCCUUUCAUUGCUCCCUCAAUCCCUAUCGUCCAUCCUUCUCCAAACCCAAAGCUUUCCUCUCCUUCAGGACCCCACCUCCUCUAUCGUCAUCAUCAUCACCGUUCAAAAUUUCCUCCGUUAGAGCCUCAUCUUCUCGCUCUCCACUCAAUAAAACAUCGCAAACCCAUCAAACCUCUCCUCUUCAAACCCUAAACCCUCUCCUCAAAACCACCUGCAUCACUCUUACUGCCGCUGCUGCAAUCCUCUUUUCGAGACUCCAGAUUAAACCAGCAAUUGCCGCCCCGGUCGCCUCGCAAGCCACCGUAGAGCCCACCAAGGAAUCCUCGAAGGAAAAUGUAUCAUAUGAAGAACAAGAACGAGACCUUGAAGAGCAUUUGGCUCGACAUCCUGAUGAUACUGAAGCUCUGCGUUCCCUCAUGGAGGUGAGGAUCAAAGCCCGGAAGCUUCUUGGAGCAAUCGAAGUUGUGGACCGCUUAAUUGAGCUGGAGCCCAGUGAGGAUGAGUGGCCAUUGCUAAAAGCUCAAAUUUAUAGCUACAGUGGAGAAUUUGAAUCGGCGAGAAAAGGGUUCGAGGAAAUACUAGAGAAAGACCCUCUUCGGGUGGAGGCUUAUCAUGGUCUAGUGAUGGCGCAUUCUGAAUCUGGGAAUUCAUUGGACGAGGUGUUAAAAAGAAUUGAAGCAGCGAUGAAUAAAUGCAAGAAAGAGAAGAAAAAAUCUGACUUGAGGGAUUUUAAGCUAUUAAUUGCACAAAUUAGAGUGAUAGAGGAGAAAUAUGUGGACGCUCUGAAGGUUUACGAGGAAUUGGUGAAGGAGGAGCCAAGGGAUUUUAGGCCGUAUUUGUGUCAGGGAAUUAUAUAUACUCUGUUGAGGAAGAAAGAUGAGGCAGAGAAAAAAUUUGAGCAGUUUAGGAAGCUUGUGCCUAAGAAUCAUCCAUACAGGGAGUUUUUCCUUGAUAACAUGUUUGCAACAAAGUUCUUCUCGGAGAAGGUCCAGAGGGAGGGAGCAGGGUCGAGCAUCUGAGAGGAGUAGGGAAUAAAUUUAGAUGCAGCUGAUAUGCAGAUUCUACAAUGAUUGGCUUGGAACAGAAGGAAAUGUAUUGUGUUCAGAUGAGUCUUCAUGUGGAAGCAUUGUAUCUUGAUUCAUACUGUGGAAGACCCUAGGAGUAGAUAAAUUUGUUAAAUAGAUCUAAACAAAAUUGUGGAGUGCAAAUUUGGCGGUAAGAGGAACUUGCAGACAUAAAAAUGUAACUUCUAUGAUUGUUGGAGGAAUUUAUAUUGUUAGUUGUUAAGUAGAAGCAGAACAGGAAUCUUUGCAAAUGUUUAUUAAAGAAGAUAACGAGGCGUAGAAGUACAUAUGAACUCUACACUGUCUGCAUUUUGUUUUGGUCUAUAGUUGCAUGUGCCAGUAAUUGAUCUUCACGUCAAGGUUUUCCAGUAUCUUUUAACUUGGGGAGAGAACCCAAUGCAAGAGUUUGAUUGAAAUUUAGUACCUCUAAUCUUUCUUUUAAAAGUUUGGAUUAUCAGGCUUUAGA
rnacentral:misc_RNA from 1 species